rnacentral:rRNA from 1 species
AUUGAACGCUGGCGGCAUGCCUUACACAUGCAAGUCGAACGGCAGCGCGGGCUUCGGCCUGGCGGCGAGUGGCGAACGGGUGAGUAAUACAUCGGAACGUGCCCUAGAGUGGGGGAUAACUAGUCGAAAGAUUAGCUAAUACCGCAUACGAUCGACGGAUGAAAGUGGGGGACCGCAAGGCCUCAUGCACCUGGGGCGGCCGAUGUCUGAGUAGCUAGUUGGUGGGGUAAAAGCCUAUCAAGGCGACGAUCAGUAGCUGGUCUGAGAGGACGACCAGCCACACUGGGACUGAGACACGGCCCAGACUCCUACGGGAGGCAGCAGUGGGGAAUUUUGGACAAUGGGGGAAACCCUGAUCCAGCAAUGCCGCGUGUGUGAAGAAGGCCUUCGGGUUGUAAAGCACUUUUGUCAGGAACGAAACGGUGGGGGCUAAUAUCCUCUGCUAAUGACGGUACCUGAAGAAUAAGCACCGGCUAACUACGUGCCAGCAGCCGCAGUAA